rnacentral:rRNA from 1 species
CUUGAACAAAAAUAAGAGGUCCAGCCUGCCCAGUGACUAAUAUUCAACGGCCGCGGUAUCCUAACCGUGCGAAGGUAGCGUAAUCACUUGUUCUUUAAAUGAGGACUAGUAUGAACGGCACCACGAGGGUUAUACUGUCUCCUCUCUCUAAUCAGUGAAACUAAUCCCCCCGUGAAGAAGCGGGGAUAAAACUAUAAGACGAGAAGACCCUAUGGAGCUUUAAACUUAUCCUCAAACGCCAAAAAUCACACAAGUUUAAACUUCACCACAUGAACUCUCGCGCCGUGAGGACAAUUUUUAGGUUGGGGUGACCAUGGAGUAUAAAAUAACCUCCAUGCUGAAUAGGCCUCCAAGCCUCGAGCCAAGGGCUACGACCCAUCGCACUAAAACAUUAACAUCCAUUGAUCCAAUGUACUUUGAUCAACGAAC